UGUAGUAAAUCAGCUCAAAAGGGAGGGUCGGGGCUGGUUAGUACUUGGAUGGGAGACCGACUGGGAAUACCAGGUGCUCUAA
rnacentral:rRNA from 1 species